rnacentral:rRNA from 1 species
AGUGAACGUUGGCGGCGUGCUUAACACAUGCAAGUCGAACGAGAACGGAUUAUAGCUUGCUAUAAUUGUCAGCUAAGUGGCGCACGGGUGAGUAAUGUAUAGGUAAUAUGCCUCUUACUAAGGGAUAACAAAUGGAAACGUUUGCUAAUACCUUAUACUCCUUAUUAACAUAAGUUAAUAAGGGAAAGCUUUAUUGGUAAGAGAUUAGCCUGUAUUGUAUAAGUUAGUUGGUGGGGUAAUGGCUUACCAAGACUAUGACACAUAACUGGUUUGAGAGGAUGAUCAGUCACACUGGAACUGAGACACGGUCCAGACUCCUACGGGAGGAAGCAGUGGGGAAUAUUGCACAAUGGACGAAAGUCUGAUGCAGCAACGCAGCGUGGAGGAUGACACAUUUCGGUGCGUAAACUCCUUUUAUAUGAGAAGAUAAUGACGGUAUUAUAUGAAUAAGCACCGGUUAACUCCGUGCCAGCAGCCGCCGUAAUAC